rnacentral:rRNA from 1 species
GAGCAAAUCUCAAAAAAACAAUCUCAGUUCAGACUGCAGGCUGCAACUCGCCUGCACGAAGUCGGAAUUGCUAGUAAUCGUAGGUCAGCAUACUACGGUGAAUACGUUCCCGGGCCUUGUACACACCGCCCGUCAAACCAUGAGAGUUGGCAACACCCGAAGUCGGUAGUCUAACCGCAAGGAGGACGCCGCCGAAGGUGGGGUUNAUGAUUAGGGUUAAGUCGUAACAAGGUAGC